GCCCGGUUAGCUCAAUCGGUAGAGUAAGUUGAAUACACUCAUACGAUCUCACGAAUCAUUCAACUAACAUCUUCAUAGGCGUGAGACUCUUAAUCUCAAGGUUGCGGGUUCGACCCCCGCAUCGGGCU
rnacentral:tRNA from 1 species